CUGAGAACUCGGUUAAUUAAUUGGGAUCGCCCAAGCCGCCGGCCCCCGGGGAGCUCCCCGGGGGGGACGCGGGGUGCCCGUGAGCGGUCACCGGGAUACGAGAGAGGCGUUAGCGGGGGAAGGACCCGGCAGCGCCCGGCCCCGCUCACAGCGGAGGGGCAGGGCCCGGCCCCCGGCCCCCGGCCCCCGGCCCCGGCCCCCCCCGGGCGCUGCCCCGGGCAGGGCCGCAGCAGGCCGCAGGAGGCCCCAGUAGGCCGCAGACCCCGCGCCCGUUGCCACGGCAACGCGCCUCGCCCAGGUGCGGAGCCCCCCGGGAGCAGCCGCUCGGCAUCACGGGACAGCGAGUCCGCAACCGCCUUGUCUUCAUCACCGCGCCGCGGCGGCGGACCACAACUCCCACAACCCCCUGGGGCAGCGCGGCCCCCUCCCCUUCCUCUACGCCCCUCGCUUCCAUUGGCUCCGCCGCGACGCCGAGCGGCCGCACGGCGGCUGCCGAUUGGCGGAAACGCGGCGGGGCCGAAGCGCUGCCUAUGGCGGCCGAGCGGGCGGUGGGGGAGCGCGGCCGCCAUUUUGUGUGCGCGGAGGCCGGCGCCGGGCCUCGGUGCCCGCCGCGGCGGGGCCGAUGGACCAAAAGCUGCCUGCUUGUUGGAAGGCUGUUGGGCACUGGCCUCAUCGCCAGAACAGCUGCCGUUUUCAGGGAACUGGCCUGCUGUUGCGCUGCUUUGUGUUUGCGCUGAAGAAUGGCCGCGCCUGAAGCCAGGUGCUCGGCUCUGCGCUGGGGCAGGUUGGUGCUGCUCCGAGUGCAAUGCCUCCUGCUGGACUCAGUGCCGUCGGGCACAGCCCUGCCCCAGAAGAACACGGGACUGCCCCUCGCAGCGCAGUUGCUGAGAGAAUAAAAUCUCAGCUGGACAAACA
rnacentral:lncRNA from 1 species